UGAACUGCAGCUCCAGAUAUUUGCCCAAGAGAAGCAUACACUUACCUUAUCUAAGAGACCUACUUAGCAGUCCACUGCUUCCGCAGCUUGACUAAAUACUUGGCAGGCCAAACAAUAUAUCCAAAUCUUCUUUAACCAUAAUAAACAAGAUGAAGUUCUCAUACAUUACAAACAUGAAUGAUUUCAAUCUAUAUAUUUAGAUAUAUAUUACAAUCAUGUUCGACAUCCUGUAAACAAACAAAAGGUUUGACAUGAUAUUUAGUAACCUAGAACCAGAAACAUUAUCAACUGAUGUGGUGAUUCAAGUAGUAACCUCUACAUGCAAUUAAAGAUCUCUAUUGAGUCUUAAGAAAAGUAUUCUGGUCAGUCUAGUUUAACCUCAAUAAGACUUCACAUACACAGCAUAAGUAUUCACAAAUAAUCCAUUCGCUACUUUUGAAAUCAAAUCCACAUCCAACAUAGUGCAGUUAUCAGUUUUUAUAAAACCACACUUCGUAACUGCACUAAAUACCCUUCCAUGAACAGGUAUGCCUCUCACAUAAAUUACAAGAAUUGAUAAUGCUGCAGAUUAUUACACUUUCUCCACAUAAGAAUUAAGAUCUUUUUAAAUUAUUACACAAUAAAAUCAAACUUAUCUAAUUUUUCAUUGUAUUGAUUGCUAACAAAUAAAGCAAAGGCUGAUCACUAUUUAAAAACUAAAACCAACACUAAUUAGAACUAAAUAAGGAAGCCAAGUUGUAACCCAUAACUUCAACUUAAACAUUUAGUAGCCCAUUCUAUAAAAGGAUACGUCCUUUUAUGUACUAUAUUCAGAAAACUUAAUACACUCUUGUUCACACGAAAUCUCUUCCCUAUUAGUAAGGCAACAAUCUAACAAUCAAAUAUAUUUAUUGGAUAAAGAUAUUUGUACAAAAACUUAUUGACAAAAUGGUGUACUCACUCUCACAAAAUUAGCGGACCCCACGUGAAUUUAAAAAAUGUUAGCUUGUGGUCCCCACCCCCCUUGUUAAUAGUGAGUAAGUGAGUUUGUAAAAAAAGUUUGUAAAUGUAUCAUGAUCCAUAUUUAUUUGAAGACCUCUUUCUUUUUGUCCGGAACAAUCACAUAUUAAGUGAAGUGAUAAACUUUUGCUCACUUAAGUGCCUCCUACUUACCAGCAAGGUGACAGUCUAACAUUCAAAAUAUGCUGUUCCAUAGAUGUGAAAUCGAUAAUUUUUAACAUCCUCAUAGCAUGCAAUUCUUUUGUAGUCAGUUGGUGCUCAAUGUAUGCAAGUGGAAAGUUCAUCUAUGCAUUAAAUUCACCUAAAUCUUAGUUAUCACUUAAUACCAAACAGGUUUUUCGCGAACAACUAGUGGCCUUAGAUAUCUAGUUUGUCAUUACAUGAAUCGAGUACCUCUAGUGUUAACAUUCUUGUACAUGCAACCUGGCCUCCAUGCUCAUCGAUGAUUUGCCAUCUUGCUUUUCUCUAAACACAUCCAUCCUACUCAAAAGGGCCCUUUGAAUAAACAAAUACAACACACCAGCUUUAUACACAACUUUAAUCAUUAGUUCUAAAUUUAGCAUCCCAAAUGCUUGCCACACAGGACAGACAUUCCUCCAACAUGAGAAAUCGUAAAAACAAUGCCACGGCAUCAAUUACACAUUUCCCAACAAAUAUGUCGUUUCAGUCCUCCGUGACAUGAGAGCAACAAUUAAAGGAUUCUUGCAUACUAAAACCUCAUAAUCAUCACCAAUGACCAAAAGUGAAGCAAGUCAACUGAAACUAAACGUUUGCUCGUAAACUCGUUCCUUUCAUAUCCAGCAAAAUAGGACUAAAACUAUCUCGAACAGAUCAAAUUACUCCCGUUGUACUCCAAUUUUUCAGAAUAAAAAAAUAUCAAAAGGUAUAAACCAAGUAACGAACCUGAGAAAGAGAGGCGGAAGCAAGCGAAGCAGCAGAGUACAAAGAGCAAUAAUGAGAUCAAAUCAGCCAUGGCGCGAGGGAAAGUGAUUAACUUGUGGAAGAAUUGCCAAUAACAAAAUCCCUAGAUCAUGGACACAGAGUGACAGACAGCAAUUCUCAGUCAAAAUACAAGGCCAUGUUUUACGUGCAACCGCAGACUUCGGAAGACUAUUAAAAUAAUCGGUGAUAUGCAUUUAACGACCGUUCCUCGCAAUUCAUUCUAUUAGCUCCAGUUUGGCCGGAAAAAUUAUUGAGUGAAAUAGUAUUUUUUUUUUU
rnacentral:lncRNA from 1 species